GUUUUUUUUAUUUUUUUUUAUUAUUGGUAUAUUAUCCAUAAUAGCAUUCGUCAUCCCUAAUAUAGGAAGGAACAUUGAUCUUUUGCUGCUAAAAAAAAAAAUAAAAAAAACUNNNNNNNNNNNUUUUUUUUUAAAAAAAAAUAAAAAAAACUUGAACAAGGAAAAUAGCUAUGUCAAAAUAUCAAUGUCUUAAAAAGUCCAAAUAAUUAAAUAAAAAACCUAGAUCAAGUAAGAAAUGUCACUCUGAAGAGGGAAAAAAAAAU
rnacentral:misc_RNA from 1 species